GAUUAUUUUUUAUUGUUGAAAAAAUUAAAAAUAAAUUGUUUUUAACAAAAAUUAAAAUUUAUAAUAUUUCAUUUUUUGGUUUUUUGUUUUAAAUUAAAAUAAUAAAUAUGGGGGAAAAAAAAAUUUUGUUAUAAAUUAUAUUAGUUUAUUUUAAUUAAAAAUAUUUUUUAUUAAAUUUGUUUUUUUUAUUUUUUUAUAAAAAAUAUUAAUUUAAUUAUUAUUAUUGAGUUUAAUUUAGUUAUUUUUAAAAAAAUUUUGUAUAAAAUAAAUUUGAUAAUAAAUGUUUUUUAAAUUCUUUGGGGGUUUAGUUUAUGAUUUUUUGUUUCUGCUCAUUGUUAAAUAAAAGCACUUUUAGCGUGAUUAGUCAAAGGUAGCGAGGUAAUUUGUUUUUUUAUUGAAUUCUAGUAUGAAUGGAGAUUUUGUUAUCAAAUAUAUUUAAUUGAGAAGAAAUUUUGGAUUUAUUUAAAAAAUAAUAAAUUUAAUAAAACUAAGAAAAGUCUUUAGAAAUAAA
rnacentral:rRNA from 1 species